GUUUAUGCUGCAACUACUGGAGAAAACAAUCAAAGAGAAGAUAAUACUUAAAGAAGUAGUCCCACCAUGCUGCAACUAGUGGAGAAAACAAUCAAAGAGAAGAUAAGCAAUUGCCUUCUUUUGAAGGUAGUAGUUCCGCCAUUUUGUUCUUUUGCAGAGAAUGGAGGCUCUCAACUUGCAGUAUCUUGUUCUUUCCUAGAGAGACGAGGCUUUUUUAGCUGCACAGUAUUUUGUUCUGUCAUGGAGGUGCUAAAAUUAUUGAUCUUUUUGUUGUUGUAAGUACGAAUAUUCAGACGCAUGAACGAGGUUGCGAUUCAGCUGGCCCGCAGCUUUGGUCAGGUUACAUCGUAUGAUGCUUGAAGAUUUGUCGAAUGGUAUUAUGGAUGAGGUACUGUGAGCACGUUGCCAUUUGCUUUGAAAGAGUUUGUCCAUAUCAAAGAAGGGUUGCAGUUGUGGAGAAGAAAUUUUGUUGUCUCUGGAUGUAAUGAAUUAUUUUUAGUUCGCGAAUUGGUUGUAUGAUGCAUUUUUUAAUAUAGUAUACAGUACAUGAAAUGUAGAGGUGCCAAAUACUAGUAUUUGCUAGUAUUUGGCACCUAUUUUUUUUAUUCUAGUUUAAUGAUUUUGCCACUGAUAUCAGUGGAAUUCCGAAGCCACUGAUAUUUGGAUCAGUUGCUUUGGCACUGAUUUGGAUGCAAUUUUGCUUUGGUUGAAGGCAUCACACUGUUAAAUUAUCAGUGUGUUUAGUCCCAUUAGCACUUGCAAUAGAGGGGACUGAUAUCUCAUUAGUGGCUGCAUAGUGGCUAAUGCCAUUAGCCACUCUUAUCAGUGUGCUUUGUCCCAAUAGGGACUAAUUCAAAUCA